AUUGCCCCAGUAACGGCGAGUGAAGCGGCAAGAGCUCAAAUUUGAAAUCUGGCCCCGUCGGGGUCCGAGUUGUAAUUUGCAGAGGAUGCUUCGGGUGCGGCCCCCGUCUAAGUGCCCUGGAACGGGCCGUCAUAGAGGGUGAGAAUCCCGUCUGGGACGGGUGGCCGCGUCCGUGUGAAGCUCCUUCGACGAGUCGAGUUGUUUGGGAAUGCAGCUCUAAAUGGGUGGUAAAUUUCAUCUAAAGCUAAAUACUGGCCGGAGACCGAUAGCGCACAAGUAGAGUGAUCGAAAGAUGAAAAGCACUUUGAAAAGAGAGUUAAAUAGCACGUGAAAUUGUUGAAAGGGAAGCGCUUGCGACCAGACUCGCCCGCGGGGGCUCAGCCGGCACUCGUGCCGGUGCACUCCCCCGUGGGCGGGCCAGCGUCGGUUUGGGCGGUCGGUCAAAGGCCCCCGGAAUGUGUCGCCCUUCGGGGCGUCUUAUAGCCGGGGGUGCAAUGCGGCCAGCCCGGACCGAGGAACGCGCUUCGGCACGGACGCUGGCGUAAUGGUCGUAAGCGACCCGUCUUGAAACACGGACCAAGGAGUCUAACAUCUACGCGAGUGUUCGGGUGUUAAACCCGUCCGCGCAGUGAAAGCGAACGGAGGUGGGAACCCCCUCGCGGGGUGCACCAUCGACCGAUCCUGAUGUCUUCGGAUGGAUUUGAGUAAGAGCGUAGCUGUUGGGACCCGAAAGAUGGUGAACUAUGCCUGAAUAGGGCGAAGCCAGAGGAAACUCUGGUGGAGGCUCGCAGCGGUUCUGACGUGCAAAUCGAUCGUCAAAUUUGGGUAUAGGGGCGAAAGACUAAUCGAACCAUCUGGUAGCUGGUUCCUGCCG
rnacentral:rRNA from 1 species